AUGGGACUUCAAAUUGACCCACUCUUGGUUGUCGGUACUGAAGCAAGCCUUUGGUGAAAGCAACUACAAGAAUUGGGCCAGUCCUGGAACAAGUCUUAAGUAUCAUAAGGGGUGAUACUUUUUUUACCUUACCAACUUGUAUAGUUGACUUUUGUAAAAUGUGUUCUUGUAGUACAUUCAUCACUGACUUCAGCUGAAAACUAGUGUAUUGUGUACCGAUUGUAGUAAAUUUUGCACAUUAACCACUUGUCCAGAAUGCUAUUUUAAAGUCCUCAUUAUCUACUGGAAGAGAUGGCUUGUUUUAAACAAGCCUCAAUUAUACUACUGCUUCCUUGUUUAAUGAUUAAUACAGAUAAAAUUGAAAA